GACGAACGCUGGCGGCGUGCCUAACACAUGCAAGUCGAACGGAACUGUUUUGAAAGAUUUCUUCGGAAUGAAUUUGAUUUCGUUUAGUGGCGGACGGGUGAGUAACGCGUGAGUAACCUGCCUUCAAGAGGGGAAUAACAUUCUGAAAAGAAUGCUAAUACCGCAUGACAUAUCGGAACCACAUGGUUUUGAUAUCAAAGAUUUUAUCGCUUGAAGAUGGACUCGCGUCCGAUUAGUUAGUUGGUGAGGUAACGGCUCACCAAGACCGCGAUCGGUAGCCGGACUGAGAGGUUGAGCGGCCACAUUGGGACUGAGACACGGCCCAGACUCCUACGGGAGGCAGCAGUGGGGGAUAUUGCGCAAUGGGGGCAACCCUGACGCAGCAACGCCGCGUGAAGGAUGAAGGUUUUCGGAUUGUAAACUUCUUUUAUUAAGGACGAAAAAUGACGGUACUUAAUGAAUAAGCUCCGGCUAACUACGUG
rnacentral:rRNA from 1 species